CCCUUAGAUGUUCUGGGCCGCACGCGCGCUACAAUGAUGAAUUCAACGAGUUUAUAACCUUGGUUGAAAAGCCUGGGUAAUCUUUUGAACUUUCGUCGUGAUGGGGCUAGACCCUUGCAAUUAUUGGUCUCCAACGAGGAAUUCCUAGUAAACGCAAGUCAUCAGCUUGCAUUGAUUACGUCCCUGCCCUUUGUACACACCGCCCGUCGCACCUACCGAUUGAAUGGUCCGGUGAAAUCUUCGGAUUGAGACUUUGAUUUCUUCACGGAAAACGCUGUUUUAAAAAGUUGAUUAAACCUUACCGUUUAGAGGAAGGUGAAGUCGUAACA
rnacentral:rRNA from 1 species